rnacentral:tmRNA from 1 species
CCCCUUCCUUAGAAGCCGGCCGCCACCUAUAUUUACAGCGUCGGGAAACCGACUAUGGCGAUAAACGGUGCGUAGAAUAAGCGUUACGGACCCGGGGGCAGUGCCCGGCGCCUCCACCAGUUUCCCCCGGCUCCCCGGAGCCGGGUCCAAGGGGGCGAUUCAGGAUCGACGUGCGUGGUAAAAGCGCAUUUUUUGCCCGGCAUGGUUCCGCCGUUAUCGGGCCACUUAUAGGUGCCAACGAUAACCGUAUGGCCCUCGCUGCCUAACACUAGGUAAGCGCGGUCCGGGGGGCACCGGGCAACAGAAGCCCCCCACU